GCACUGCUGAGGAGUUCCACAAUAGGACGAAACGGCUGUUCAGUGC
rfam:Schistosoma mattheei strain Denwood, Zambia genome assembly, scaffold: SMTD_contig0011738